rnacentral:rRNA from 1 species
AUACGGAGGGUGCAAGCGUUGUCUGGAUUUAUUGGGUUUAAAGGGUGUGUAGGCGGUGUAUUAAGUCAGUGGUGAAAGCCUGCGGCUCAACCGUAGAACUGCCAUUGAUACUGACACACUUGAGUAUGGACGAGGUAGGCGGAAUUUAUGGUGUAGCGGUGAAAUGCAUAGAUACCAUAAAGAACACCGAUAGCGAAGGCAGCUUACUAGGCCAUAACUGACGCUGAGGCACGAAAGCGUGGGGAGCGAACAGGAUUAGAAACCCGAGUAGUCC